CCUACAAGGCUAAAUACUCCUGACUGACCGAUAGUGAACCAGUACCGUGAGGGAAAGGCGAAAAGAACCCCGGCGAGGGGAGUGAAAAAGAACCUGAAACCGUGUACGUACAAGCAGUGGGAGCACCUUCGGGUGUGACUGCGUACCUUUUGUAUAAUGGGUCAGCGACUUAUAUUCUGUAGCAAGGUUAACCGUAUAGGGGAGCCGGAGGGAAACCGAGUCUUAAUUGGGCGUUAAGUUGCAGGGUAUAGACCCGAAACC
rnacentral:rRNA from 1 species